rnacentral:lncRNA from 1 species
CCUGGGGUCCAGAAAAUAGAGUCCAGCAGGAGAGAAGAAAUCUCCAGGAUGUGGAUAAAGAGAAAUACCAUUGGCCAGCUGAGCAGCAGAUGGGAUUUUCCAAAAGGAGCAGAAAGUCAGUAGGAGAAAAGUUGGAGCUGUACAUCCUCAAUGAGUUGCUACUUCUGUUAUACACAGAAAAUUAAAAGUUGAAUGAAACCCGCAACUAAGAAAUACCAAGUUCAACUAAAUUAAUAAAAUGUGGUAAGUGGCUAUGAUUCAUGUAGUUGAGCUUCACCAUUGAUCUGUAGGGAAUAAAGAGGCAGCUGAGUUAUCAAAAUGAACAAAAGCAGUUGCUAAAGUUGGCAGUAAAUGAG